UGGGGAAUAUUGCACAAUGGGCGCAAGCCUGAUGCAGCCAUGCCGCGUGUGUGAAGAAGGCCUUCGGGUUGUAAAGCACUUUCAGCGAGGAGGAAGGGCAGUGUGUUAAUAGCACAUUGCAUUGACGUUACUCGCAGAAGAAGCACCGGCUAACUCCGUGCCAGCAGCCGCGGUAAUACGGAGGGUGCAAGCGUUAAUCGGAAUUACUGGGCGUAAAGCGCACGCAGGCGGUUUGUUAAAUCAGAUGUGAAAUCCCCGCGCUUAACGUGGGAACUGCAUUUGAAACUGGCAAGCUAGAGUCUUGUAGAGGGGGGUAGAAUUCCAGGUGUAGCGGUGAAAUGCGUAGAGAUCUGGAGGAAUACCGGUGGCGAAGGCGGCCCCCUGGACAAAGACUGACGCUCAGGUGCGAAAGCGUGGGGAGCAAACA
rnacentral:rRNA from 1 species